AGAUGACCUGAGGCGUAUUGACGUCGCAGUUGGCGGUGAGCUGAGACACCGAGAGGGGUCUGCUUUUGAAUUGAGCUAGGCUGGGCCGCGACUCACCAUGCUGGACCGGCGUGCGCUGCUGAUGGCCACUCUGCUGCUGGCGCUGCUCGGCUCCGCCGCUGCCUACGACGACCCGUUUAUUCCCGGCCCGGAGAUGGCGUCCUCCGCGGAGAAGGCCAGCGGCGCGCUGCUGCUGGUGGCCGCCGGGCUGCUGGCCGCCCUCCGUCUGCUGUGACCCCUGCGCGUGACCUCUGUGACCUCUGACUGGUCCGGUGGACUUGCCAUUGACUGGCAACGCGUGGAGCGUAAGGACCUGUCGCAUGAUUUUGCACCUUGACAAUAAAAAGGCAUGAAUACAAAAACAUAUAUGA